rnacentral:rRNA from 1 species
AGAGUUUGAUCAUGGCUCAGGACGAACGCUGGCGGCGUGCUUAACACAUGCAAGUCGAGCGGAAAGGCCCUUUCGGGGGUACUCGAGCGGCGAACGGGUGAGUAACACGUGAGUAACCUGCCCUUCACUUUGGGAUAACCCUCGGAAACGGGGGCUAAUACCGGAUACGACUGGGUCUCGCAUGGGGUCUGGUGGAAAGAUUUUUUGGUGGGGGAUGGGCUCGCGGCCUAUCAGCUUGUUGGUGGGGUGAUGGCCUACCAAGGCGACGACGGGUAGCCGGCCUGAGAGGGCGACCGGCCACACUGGGACUGAGACACGGCCCAGACUCCUACGGGAGGCAGCAGUGGGGAAUAUUGCACAAUGGGCGGAAGCCUGAUGCAGCGACGCCGCGUGAGGGAUGACGGCCUUCGGGUUGUAAACCUCUUUCAGCAGGGACGAAGCGUGAGUGACGGUCCUGCAGAAGAAGCGCCGGCCAACUACGUGCCAGCAGCCGCGGUA